UAGUGAAACAAUUGUUGUAAU
rnacentral:piRNA from 1 species